rnacentral:misc_RNA from 1 species
AAGUCGUAACAAGGUUUCCGUAGGUGAACCUGAGGAAGGAUCAUUAACACGUAUCCAAACGUUAAAACCCCCCCCGUGAACCUUCAUCCUGCUCUUGUAACCCGCGUAGUUCGCAAUCUCUGAUAAAUCGUAGCCCGGAAAGUUGUAGUGAUUCAGAGACCUCUGGCUACGUGCGAACAUUGGAACAGUUACAAUCGAGCGGUAGUAUAUCUUGGUUCUC